GACGAACGCUGGCGGCGUGCCUAAUACAUGCAAGUUGAGCGCUGAAGGUUGGUACUUGUACCAACUGGAUGAGCAGCGAACGGGUGAGUAACGCGUGGGGAAUCUGCCUUUGAGCGGGGGACAACAUUUGGAAACGAAUGCUAAUACCGCAUAAAAACUUUAAACACAAGUUUUAAGUUUGAAAGAUGCAAUUGCAUCACUCAAAGAUGAUCCCGCGUUGUAUUAGCUAGUUGGUGAGGUAAAGGCUCACCAAGGCGAUGAUACAUAGCCGACCUGAGAGGGUGAUCGGCACCAUUGGGCCGGAGACACGGCCCAAACUCCUACGGGAGGAAGCAGUAGGGAAUCUUGGGAAAUGGACGAAAGUCUGACCGAGAACGGCCGCGUGAGGGAAGAAGGUUUCCGGAUCGUAAAACUCUGUUGGUAGAGAAGACCGUUGGUGAGAGUGGAAAGCUCAUCAAGUGACGGUAACUACCCAGAAAGGGACGGCUAACUACGUG
rnacentral:rRNA from 1 species